UACGUAGGGGGCAAGCGUUGUCCGGAAUCAUUGGGCGUAAAGCGCGUGUAGGCGGUUCAGUAAGUCUGCUGUGAAAUCCCCAGGCUCAACCUGGGAACUGCGUCCGAUACUGGAUGGCUUGAAUCCGGGAGAGGGAUGCAGAAUUCCAGGUGUAGCGGUGAAAUGCGUAGAUAUCUGGAGGAAUACCGGUGGCGAAGGCGGCAUCCUGGACCGGCAUUGACGCUGAGGAGCGAAAGCCAGGGGAGCAAACGGG
rnacentral:rRNA from 1 species